rnacentral:rRNA from 1 species
AUACGGAAGGUCCGGGCGUUAUCCGGAUUUAUUGGGUUUAAAGGGAGCGCAGGCGGAGAUGCAAGCGUGACGUCAAAUUUCGGGGCUCAACCCCGUCUCGCGUCGCGAACUGCGUCCCUUGGUUGCGGGAAGGGGAGGCGGAACUCGUGGUGUAGCGGGUCAAUGCAUAGAUAUCACGAAGAACUCCGAUCGCGAAGGCAGCCUUCCGGCCCGUCAACGACGCUCAUGCUCGAAGGUGCGGGUAUCAAACAGGAUUAGAUACCCUGGUAGUCCACGCAGUAAACGAUGAUAACUAUCCGCUGGUGCGCAAGUAUCAGUGGCCAAGCGAAAGCGAUAAGUUAUCCACCUGGGGAGUACGACCGCAAGGUUGAAACUCAAAUGAAUUGACGGGG